UUUUAUGAUGUUAAAUACAUUGAAUAAUCUCCCUAUUUUUGCCAAAUAAAAAUACCAGUAGCCUUCUCUUCCUGUGUUUGCAGAUAUUUCCUGCUUCGGAGAGCACUUUAAGCAAGGAAGGCUUUCCUUGGCUUCGCCUGCAUUCCAUAAAAUACUCAUUGCCUUUUCGGAUGUGUUCGAGCGAAUAUUACUCACAGGAGAGAAAGUUUUUACCCUUCACACCUUUUCUAAGGGGAGAAACCACAACUCACUGGGCUGUUCCUACUCUUGCCUUCCUCAAAAUUGCCUAAGUAAGUUAUUUAGAUUCCUAUCUCUGUGUGAGAUAGCCACCAUGUGAAACAUAAGCAUCUAUUCACCCCAGAUAGAGAACAGAGCAAAAAAAUGUUUCCAUCCAAAUCAGGCUUGGCCAGCCAAUGAGUGUCCUAGUGUUACACACAGGGCAUGGGUGACUCAAAAGCAGACGCAUCAACCAAAGUCUCACCUCAGCAUGGGUGAGAACAUACAAUCUAUACCAGGGACUAGGGACCAGG
rnacentral:lncRNA from 1 species